ACAUAUUAUGCACCAUAAUUUGGUGUAAUUCUGACCUUGACAUAAAAUGUUAUUUUGACUUUGACAUAUCACAUGGCUCAUUAUUUAGAGUAAUUUUAUCAUGAAACAUUGUUUUUUUUUGAGUUGGACAUGUCACAGAUACUUAGCUGGUUUAAAUAACAUAACAUGACUGCUUAGUGUAUGUUAUUAGAACUGGAACCAUAAAAUGUAUUCAUCUGAAUUUCAUCAAAAGGAUUUAGACAGACCAUUAUUCAGGGAGAAUAGAUAUUGUAUUAGUUAGAUUUUAUGACCUAAUUAUUAUGGAGUCCAAUCACACAGGAAACAAGUACUACAUGUUAUAAUUGCAUUUAUAUAAAGCACUGGUACUAAAGAAUUGUCAAUAAAUCUUUGUUAUUUAUGGACUAUUGUUCUGUCCAGUAAACUUCUCACCAAUGCCAACAAUACACAGCUGAUUAUUUAUAAACUUUCCAAUUCCUUUUCAGUUUAUGUUUAAACUGCACAAACCAAUAUUAUUCAAUAAAAUAAAACAAACUU
rnacentral:misc_RNA from 1 species